UACUUGAGUUUUAAUAAGAUAGAUGAAUUAGUGCGGAUGCUAAGAAUAUUAUUCUUUUUCAAUUUUUUUGUAUCAAAGUUUAAAUAUAAGAAUUGCUAAGUGCAACCGUUUUAAAAGAAUGCAACCAUAUUUUUUUAACCCUUUUGGUAAAUGCAACCAUUUUUUUCUUUUGGAUUAUCUUAAACACCUGUUUGUGUUACAAUCCCAUACGUGAACAAAGUUCUGUUUUGUAUUCUCCUAGCCUAUAUGACCGAAACAAUGUCUAGGAACUUUACAAGUGGUUAUUAAUAUUUUCCUAUAUUGUUUUUGACAUAUUUUGAUCACAUUUGUAAUAAAAGUAUGGAUGUAAAAAUCCAUUAGUUUGCAAUUUCAAAAAAAGAUCCCUAGAUUUAAGUGAAUUGGUUAGAGUGCUAACUUGUAACCUAAUGGAACAAACAAGUUCCGACAUUUAAUUCUGCAUCUUCAGAUCAUGCUCGAUCCAUCAUCCAUCUCCCAGGGUCGAGUAGAUGUGCCUUCAUUGGACAUUCCCCACCUCCGCCGAUGGAUUUUCCUAGAGUUUUGAUGUUAUGCUGUUGUGCAAUAAGAUAUUGAUAUAUCACACAAGAAUAAUUCUGUUUCAGCUUAUUGGAACUGACCAACAACAUCCAGACAAUACUGUAGGCGCUGAAAAACUCAGAAGUUGUGGAGAUUAAGGUAUAUAAUAAGAUGAGCAUCUUUCUCUCUGGUUCAUGAAUGCAUAUAAAAUAAAAUGAGAUGUUGUAAGAUGAAACAUUAAGGAGGCAAGGAGAUUGGUACAUGUAAUUGUACUGCCUCGUUGCAAGCGGCCAAGGUCCGUACCAGCAUCGUCGGUCUACCACAAUGCCACAGCUUGAGAGCAUGACUCUUUUCAUACGCAAAACAACUCUCAUAUCUACUCUCUAUCUUUGUUUUUGUUGAUAAUCGUAUAGUACCUACAGAUCCUUCCAAGCAA